rnacentral:rRNA from 1 species
UACGAAGGGCGCAAACGUUGCUCGGAAUUAUUGGGCGUAAAGCGCACGUAGGCGGCUUGGCAAGUCGGAUGUGAAAUCCCUCGGCUCAACCAAGGAAGUGCAUCCGAAACUGCCGAGCUUGAGUACUUAAGAGGAUCGCGGAAUUCCCGGUGUAGAGGUGAAAUUCGUAGAUAUCGGGAGGAACACCAGUGGCGAAGGCGGCUCACUGGUCCGGUACUGACGCUGAGGUGCGAAAGCGUGGGGAGCAAACAGG